UACGUAGGGUGCGAGCGUUAAUCGGAAUUACUGGGCGUAAAGUGUGCGCAGGCGGCCGAGCAAGUCGAGUGUGAAAGCCCCGGGCUUAACUUGGGAAUUGCGCUCGAAACUACUUGGCUGGAGUGUGGCAGAGGAAGGUGGAAUUCCAGGUGUAGCGGUGAAAUGCGUAGAGAUCGGGAAGAACACCAGUGGCGAAGGCGGUCUGCUGGGCCGUUGCUGACGCUGAGGCGCGACAGCGUGGGGAGCAAACAGG
rnacentral:rRNA from 1 species